rnacentral:tRNA from 1 species
GUUUUAGUAGUUUAUAAAAACACUGGUCUUGUAAACCAGAAUAGAGUAAAUUACUCCUUAAACU